UAGCAACGAAGGGGCGGUUAGAAUUUCUGCUGGAAACGAGGGCGAUUGCGAGGUAUAAUUUGUCUCGGAGGCUAUAGUGAAAUGUGGAUGCAAAGGACGCAAUUUUUCCUUGGGAAAGACUUUUAACACAACUAGCCGCAUCUACAUUUGAAUGGAUGAAUGCUGUUUUGGCAGAAGGAGCAAUUAUCGACCCCAAGAAAGUGGAAGUGUUAGGAGUCUUAUUCUACAGUCAUUAGUGCAAGUGUCGAAGAUUGUUAUGAGUCUGAAAUAGAUAUCAUUUGCCAAUAGUUUAGCAUAUUUUGAUAUUCAUUAGAGAUAAUAUUUUUUAAUAAUAUCUCAGCCACAGUGGAAUCCCUUCUUUUACUUCAGACUUUAAUAAAAACAAAUCGAGCUGGCAGAUUUGCGUGCAAUUUCAAAAAUAGUGUUAAAUUUAGUUGCUUUCGAUAUUUGGAAAGUUUAAGCGAAUUCGGCGGAACCAAAAUUAAAAAGCAACAAAGAGAAAUGUUUACAGUACCUCAGUUUUGGUUCCGACGAAUUGGCUAUGACUUCCCAAAUAUCUUGGGCUACUUAAUCAGACAGUAAUUCUGAAGUUUCGCGCAAAACUUACAGCUGGAUAUUUUGUUAGGGAAGUAACUAAAACACUGGUCUGACAACUCUGAUAACGAUGCAUAUGCAUUACUUCUCACUUUUUCCCCAGUUAGUCGAAAGUAAUCGAAAUGUAGUUUUGAUAGCUUUUUGCAUUUUGAGGCUACAAAGACAAUUGAAAUAAAGAAUCUGACUAGCGUCAAUGCAUGAAAAUGUUGCUCCAGUUUGCGCGAUGUGUUUAUGCGUGACUUUUGAUAAGUAUUUAUUAAUUAAACGCUUUAAAACUGUAAAUAUACGCAUUAUUAUUUAUAUUAUAUGUACAAUAAAGGUGGAACAAAGGUGAAAAACCACGACA